rnacentral:rRNA from 1 species
UGCAAGUCGAACGCCCCGCAAGGGGAGUGGCAGACGGGUGAGUAACGCGUGGGAACGUACCCUUUACUACGGAAUAACUCAGGGAAACUUGUGCUAAUACCGUAUGUGCCCUUCGGGGGAAAGAUUUAUCGGUAAAGGAUCGGCCCGCGUUGGAUUAGCUAGUUGGUGGGGUAAAGGCCUACCAAGGCGACGAUCCAUAGCUGGUCUGAGAGGAUGAUCAGCCACACUGGGACUGAGACACGGCCCAGACUCCUACGGGAGGCAGCAGUGGGGAAUAUUGGACAAUGGGCGCAAGCCUGAUCCAGCCAUGCCGCGUGAGUGAUGAAGGCCCUAGGGUUGUAAAGCUCUUUCAACGGUGAAGAUAAUGACGGUAACCGUAGAAGAAGCCCCGGCUAACUUCGUGCCAGCAGCCGCGGUAAUACGAAGGGGGCUAGCGUUGUUCGGAAUUACUGGGCGUAAAGCGCACGUAGGCGGAUUGGUCAGUUAGGGGUGAAAUCCCAGGGCUCAACCCUGGAACUGCCUUUAAUACUGCCGGUCUAGAGUUCGAGAGAGGUGAGUGGAAAUUCCGAGUGUAGAGGUGAAAUUCGUAGAUAUUCGGAGGAACACCAGUGGCGAAG